UUUAAGGUUGGCAUUGUUAAGCUAUGGAUUGAGUUCUUAUUUUCAAAUGACUUUGGUUUUAUUUAAGGAUUGGUUUUAAACUCUGGUUUUCACUUUGGCUUAUGGUUGGGUCGGGUUAGACUUGUGUCGCCCGACAUGUUGUGUUGAGCUAUACUGCAGUUAAGGCUAACACACUACUCUGGGAAACUCUUUGGUUUAAAAGAACUAUUUAAGUUAUGAAAAGGACUUCGGUUUUGUUUUUAUGGAUACGAACUCAUCUAAGCUAACUUGCAUAAAUUGUUUAAAGUGAAUGAUAUGAAUUCUUUGGUUUUUUUGAUACAUAGAUGUUUACCUUACUUGGUUGUACUUUGGUUGUGUUCAAGAUGCUAGUCCUAUGUGGUGUCUAGUAUUCUUAGAGUUAGGGGUUGUAUGGAUUUUAACUUAUACAUUGUUUUAGACCCGUCGAAUGCUCGUGCUUCGGAGUCUACGCAGGGUUAGCUGUUUGCCAAGAUUUCACGUGGAUAAGCAAGCAGUUUAUGAUUUGAAAGCUGGUCCACUCCGAUUCUUGAUUCUUGGAGGUUUUUAUGUCAAUAAAACUAGUCUGUUGUUUUAAACUCUUAGACCGCAGUAGAACUAGUAUAGUGUUUGAUUAUUAUACUUUGGUUUGUCGUGGUGGUACGACUUUUAUAUUAUUAUACUUUGGCAUGUUACAUUGGAUUAUUAUAUUUGAGGCAUGAUUCACAGUUUCGGAUUA